CGGCAUCUCGGUUCUCGUGGGCUGAUACCUUCGAAGUGAAAUGAAGGAGAGACCAAACACGCGCAAAAAAUGUACCAGGGAAAUGCAUUACUGCUCUGUGAGAGAGCAAGGACACUCCUGUUAACCAGUACUUCAUGUACUGAUUCUGAAAUUUUGAUAACUUUGGUGGAUGUUGCAUGCUGGGAACACUGAGCUUUGAUAUCUAAUUGUUGUAGUGCUAUUGCUGCUUAGUUUUAAGUGUAAAUGGGGAAACAAUAUUCUUAUAUUCACACUAUCGUUUUCUUACAUGUGCUUUUUCUUACAUGCAUUCAUUUUUGUUGUCAAGUGGAAUCUGUACUCAUGUAAUCUGUACCAUGCCAGGCUGUGUAGCAGUUAAUCAGACCAGAAUGUUUCCAGCAAAGGCAUUCUUGAGUAACACUGAGGAGCUGGCUGCCUUUCAGAUGGCUGACAUUCACGCAGUGCACAACCAACCAGGAGUUCAGCAGUUCCCCACACUGUAAAGAGUCCUCUUUGAGCACUGUAUUUGUGUUGGCUUUGGUUUGAUUUCUUUCCCAACCUGAAGUCUAAAUGAAUGGUUCUUGAGCAUUUCAGGAUUAUAGAAUAUAGAUAUGAAGAGAUAAUAAAAUCUUCAAAGCCAUGUGCUAUUUCCCAUUGCUCACGUAUUUCCUGGAGUUGAAUGCCUGGUCACAGAAACCAAUAAAAUCUG
rnacentral:lncRNA from 1 species